rnacentral:rRNA from 1 species
CCUACGGGUGGCAGCAGUAGGGAAUGUUCGUCAAUGGGCGCAAGCCUGAACGAGCAAUGCCGCGUGAAAGAGGAAGGUCUUCGGAUCGUAAAGUUCUGUUGAAGGGGAAAAAGAGCGGAGAGAGGAAAUGCUUUCUGAUUGAUAUUACCCUUCGAGGAAGGCACGGCUAACUACGUGCCAGCAGCCGCGGUAAUACGUAGGUGGCGAGCGUUAUCCGGAAUGCUUGGGCGUAAAGGGUGCGUAGGCGGCCUGCUAAGUCUGGGGUGAAAGGUACCGGCUCAACCGGUACAGGCUCUGGGAACUGGCGGGCUUGCGUGCAGGAGUGGGCGGUUGCACUCCCUGUGUCACUGUCCCAUGCUUCG